rnacentral:rRNA from 1 species
UACGAAGGGAGCAAGCGUUGUCCGGAUUUAUUGGGCGUAAAGAGCGUGUAGGCGGCCAGACAGGUCCGUUGUGAAAACUGGAGGCUUAACCUCCAGACGUCGAUGGAAACCGUCUGGCUAGAGUCCGGAAGAGGAGAGUGGAAUUCCUGGUGUAGCGGUGAAAUGCGCAGAUAUCAGGAAGAACACCCGUGGCUAAGGCGGCUCACUGGUCCGGUACUGACGCUGAGGUGCGAAAGCGUGGGGAGCAAACAGG